rnacentral:misc_RNA from 1 species
AAGACUAUAGACCUGCGGAGUACCUGCGGAGGGAUCAUUACAAGUGACCCCGGUCUAACCACCGGGAUGUUCAUAACCCUUUGUUGUCCGACUCUGUUGCCUCCGGGGCGACCCUGCCUUCGGGCGGGGGCUCCGGGUGGACACUUCAAACUCUUGCGUAACUUUGCAGUCUGAGUAAACUUAAUUAAUAAAUUAAAACUUUUAGCAAUGGAUCUCU